rnacentral:rRNA from 1 species
UACCGAGGGUGCGAGCGUUGUCCGGAAUCACUGGGCGUAAAGGGCGCGUAGGUGGCGGGACAAGCGUGCGGUGAAAGCUCGGGGCUCAACCCCGAGUCGGCCGUGCGAACUGUUUUGCUUGAGCACUGUAGAGGCAGGCGGAAUUCCGGGUGUAGCGGUGGAAUGCGUAGAGAUCCGGAAGAACACCGGUGGCGAAGGCGGCCUGCUGGGCAGUAGCUGACACUGAGGCGCGACAGCGUGGGGAGCAAACAGG